rnacentral:pre_miRNA from 1 species
GCCAAGAACUGGAAGAAAGAGAGGGUCUUACAAUUGUAGUAAUGAGAACAUUAAGGAAAGAUUAAGUGCUUAUGUCUACUCUAGCAUUUGUGUUUCAGUUUUUACUGAUGCCUCUCAUUCCUAUGGUUGUAAGGUGCUCCUUCCUCUUCCUUUGGGCU